CCUACGGGGAGCAGCAGUGGGGAAUAGUGCACAAUGGGGGGAACCCUGAUGCAGCGACGCCGCGUGAGUGAAGAAGUAGGUCGGGAUGUAAAGCUCUAUCAGCAGGGAAGAAAAUGACGGUACCUGACUAAGAAGCCCCGGCUAACUACGUGCCAGCAGCCGCGGUACUACGUAGGGGGCAAGCGUUAUCCGGAUUUACUGGGUGUAAAGGGAGCGCAGACGGCUGUGCAAGUCUGGAGGGAAAGGCGGGGGCCCAACCCCCGGACUGCUCUGGAAACUGUAAAGCUGGAGUGCAGGAGAGGUAAGCGGAAUUCCUAGUGUAGCGGUGAAAUGCGUAGAUAUUAGGAGGAACACCAGUGGCGAAGGCGGCUUACUGGACUGCAACUGACGUUGAGGCUCGAAAGCGUGGGGAGCAAACAGGAUUAGAUACCCCUGUAGUC
rnacentral:rRNA from 1 species